AGAGUUUGAUCCUGGCUCAGAAUGAACGCUGGCGGCGCGCUUAACACAUGCAAAGUCGUACGAGAAAAUCCGCCUUCGGGUGGAAAGUAAAGUGGCGCACGGGUGAGUAACGCGUGGGUAAUCUACCCUCGAAAUGGGGAUAACAUACCGAAAGGUGUGCUAAUACCGAAUAAGACCACGAUCACUCCGGUGAUCGGGGUCAAAGAUGGCCUCUGCUUGCAAGCUGUCGUUUGAGGACGAGCCCGCGUACCAUUGGCUUGUUGGUGGGGUAAUGGCCUACCAAGGCAACGAUGGUUAGCUGGUCUGAGAGGAUGGCCAGCCACACUGGAACUGGAACACGGUCCAGACUCCUACGGGAGGCAGCAGUGAGGAAUUUUGCGCAAUGGGGGAAACCCUGACGCAGCAACGCCGCGUGAGUGAAGAAGGCCUUCGGGGUUGUAAAGCUCUGUCAAGUGGGAAGAAUCUUUUUUCGGGUCGAAUAAGCCGAAAGACUGACGGUACCGCUGAAGGAAGCACCGGCUAACUCCCGUGCCAGCCGCCGCGGUAAUA
rnacentral:rRNA from 1 species